rnacentral:rRNA from 1 species
UACAGAGGGUGCUAGCGUUAAUCGGAUUUACUGGGCGUAAAGCGUGUGUAGGCGGUUUGCUAAGUCGAGUGUGAAAUCCCCGGGCUCAACCCGGGAAUUGCAUUCGAUACUGGCAAGCUAGAGUACGGUAGAGGGCGGCGGAAUUCCGGGUGUAGCGGUGAAAUGCGUAGAUAUCCGGAGGAACACCGAUGGCGAAGGCAACCGCCUGGGCCUGUACUGACGCUGAGACACGAAAGCGUGGGGAGCAAACAGG